rnacentral:sRNA from 1 species
ACAAAUUUCUAAAAAAA